GACGUAGGGCGCGAGCGUUGUCCGGAUUUAUUGGGCGUAAAGAGCUCGUAGGCGGCUUGUCGCGUCGUCCGUGAAAACCUGCAGCUCAACUGCAGGCUUGCGGUCGAUACGGGCAGGCUAGAGUUCGGUAGGGGAGACUGGAAUUCCUGGUGUAGCAGUGAAAUGCGUAGAUAUCAAGUGGAACACCAGUGGCGAAGGCGAGUCCCUGGACAACUCCUGACACUGAGGCACGAAAGCUAGGGGAGCAAACAGG
rnacentral:rRNA from 1 species